UGGACAAUAAUGAAACCUUUAUGUAUUGAUUUUGAUGUGUGUUUGAAGAAAAAAAUAAUGUUAAUCGUGUAAGACCUGUAGCAACAUAAACAUUCCUUUAUAGUCCAUGGGUACAUGCUAAUCUAGAAAGCCAACUCAUUGAAUCCCAGGGUGUAUCUGCAGGCAGCGCUUUAGGAGGAGAUCUGCCUCUGGAGCCAAGUGGCUCCGUCUGGUGUGCAGAUCCUCUGCCACCGUCUCCUGGGUGGGAUGAAAAUCAGGAGAGCGAAAUCUCUAAGGCUUGUUGUGAAUCUUAAAGGAAUGACGGCAUAGUACACUCUUACAUGGUGACAGGGACACAAUUGGAUGAGAGGCCACCCGAGACAGAGAUAAGUCACAGACAGAGGCAGCGAAGCCGGGGCUUCACUACUCCACAUCCCUGUUCCAUUCUUGGUUUCCACGUGGGUUUUAUUGAACUGAUGUCUGCACAGCAUGUGAUGCGUAUAGUGGAAGGAACUGUGACACUGUUCGUGUGACAACCACAGCCAAAGCAGACAAUUAUCACGACCCCCAAGAGUUCCCUAAGGCUCCUCUAUGUCCUGCUCACCCCUCCAGCUCUUAGUGACUAUUCUGUCCCUACCAAUUUGCUUUCUCUAGAAUGUCUUCUAAGUGAGAUCAUGGGAUGGCUUCUUUCAGGUAGCAGGUACAUUACUUCUUGUGUCUGUUUUGCACACAUUUCCUGGCUUGUUUAUUUUAAUUCAAGAAUACAAUUACAUUCUGUGGUCGUAUCUUAAUUUACUUUCCAGUUUACCAGGUGCUGGCUUUUCACACCUCAUUUGAUAACCUUGACACGUUCUUUUAUCCUUAUCUCCCUGUGAGAUCGUUUUAUGGUCAUCACUGGUGAGUAACAAGCACCUUCCCUAAGCCGCCAAAAUCUGUAUGAUUUUGUUUCUGAUUUCUCAGGGAAGUUACGCAUGGAGCCUUUCUGAGCACACUGAUGAAACUGUCCUUCCACUUCUCAGGGGCCAUGAGGAGGAAUGAGUCAUCUCCGCGGCCAGGGCCUGCCUUCCUCCCUGACGAUGACAUCUACUUGGCAGCCCGGGCACAGGGGGUGCUGGGUUGGAGCAGCUCUCCAUCAUCCCAGUCGUCCUCCGAGUAUCAGUCCUACUCUCAGUACCAGUCCUGGGACUCCAGCAAAUCUGAGGAGCAGCAGGAGACUCCACCUGAGAGCGUGUGCGCCCUGUAUACCCACGUGCAGACUGUGCGCGGCGUGGCAGUGGCUUGGGAGACUGAUGAUGGCUUUGAGCCAGUCACCAGGAAGCCCCUUAUCCGGGAGGCUGAGUUCAUCAAGCGUCAGCGGCGGAAAGGCUCCUCCUUUGAGAUGGCCUCCAACACAGACCUGCGCUGGGAGCUGGAAGACUGCAAGCACUACUGCCCGCAGACUGAGGACCCUGUGGACUGCUGCAUGCAGGAGCUACGAGCACCACCAGACUGGCUGGUCACCACCAACCAUGGCUUGCGCUGUGUGGCCUGCUGCAGAGUCUUCCCUACGCUGGAGGCUCUGCUGGACCACGCCCAGCAUGGCAUCCAAGAUGGCUUCAGCUGCCAAAUAUUCUUCGAGGAGAUGCUGGAAAGGAAGCGGACCCGGGAUCAAAAGCAGGACCAACAGCCUGUAGAAGAGGAGCAGAGCCUUUCGGACAGUAGUGAAUGUACCAGGCUCCUAACCAAGGUGCUUCCCUGGCAGCAGCAGCCGCAGCAGCAGCCGCAGGAGCAACAGAAGCAGCAGCAGCAGCAACAGCAGAAGCAGCGGCAGCAGGAGCAGCAGCAACAUCAACAGCAGCAGCAGCAGCCGCAGCCACUGAAGCAGCAGCAGCAGCAGCAGCAGCAGCAGCCAUUGCAGCCGCAGCCACUGAAGCAGCAGCCGUUGCAGCCGUUGCAGCCGCAGCCGCAGCCACAGCCACAGAAGCAGCAGCAAAGGCAGCAGCAGAGGCAGCAGCAGCCACCGCGACAGCAGCAGAAACAACAGCCACUGCAGCAACAGGGAAAGUAGAGAUCGGAGGUGAGCUGCCCACCCUCCCUCCAGCAUUUUGAAUUGCUGCUCCUUUUCCAGCCAGCCGAACCAGAGCCACCAGAGCAGGGGGAGAGGACCAGGGUGAUGGGGAGAAGAGCCAUCCAUGUGGCUGUGGAGCAGCAAAGGUGGGAGGAAUGGGAACCUUUCCCCAAGGCGGAGUCCAUUUCAAAACCGGAAUCCAAAGAAGAGGGCUUCAAGAGUUCUUGAUGGUGGAUGCAAGAUGGGAAACAAGCAAGCAUGUGGCCACAGGGAUUUCUAUUUUUUGCGGAAGGAUCAGCAGUAGUCCACACUUGCUAUCCAAGUACAUGUGACUCACAGGCAAGCCAACUGCAAAUGAAGCUUCAGCCCUAUUUUUUUCAUUGUUAGGAAUCUGUCAUAUGCCCUAAUUCUAUGUUGUUGGGAUUAAACUUGAAUAAGCC
rnacentral:lncRNA from 1 species